rnacentral:sRNA from 1 species
GCCAGGUAUGCUGGUGCACACCUGUAAUCCCAGCUGCUCAGGAGGUUGAGACAGGAGAAUCACGAGUUCAAAGCCAGCCUCAGCAAUGGCGAGGCACUAAGCAACGCAGUAAGACCCUGUCUCUA